rnacentral:rRNA from 1 species
UACGUAGGGUGCAAGCGUUGUCCGGAAUUAUUGGGCGUAAAGAGCUCGUAGGCGGUUUGUCGCGUCUGCUGUGAAAACUCAGGGCUUAACUCUGAGCUUGCAGUGGGUACGGGCAGACUAGAGUGCGGUAGGGGAGACUGGAAUUCCUGGUGUAGCGGUGAAAUGCGUAGAUAUCGAGAGGAACACCUGCGGCGAAGGCGGGUUGCUGGGCUGACACUGACGCUGAUUGUGCGAAAGCUAGGGGAGCGAACGGG